rnacentral:rRNA from 1 species
UGAGGAAUAUUGGUCAAUGGACGCAAGUCUGAACCAGCCAAGUAGCGUGCAGGAUGACGGCCCUAUGGGUUGUAAACUGCUUUUAUAUGGGGAAAAAGUGGGGAACGUGUUCCCUUUUGCAGGUACCAUAUGAAUAAGGUCCGGCCAAUUCCGUGCCAGCAGCCGCGGUAAUACGGAAGGUUCGGGCGUUAUCCGGAUUUAUUGGGUUUAAAGGGAGCGUAGGCUGUUUGGUUAGCGUGUUGUGAAAUGUAGGAGCUCAACUUCUAGAUUGCAGCGCGAACUGUCAGACUUGAGUGCUCACAACGUCGGCGGAAUUCAUGGUGUAGCUGUGAAAUGCUUAGAUAUCAUGAAGAACACCGAUUGCGAAGGCAGCCUACUGGUGCGCAUCUGACGCUGAAGCUCGAACGUGCGGGUAUCGAACAGG